UAUUGGGCAAUGGAGGCAACUCUGACCCAGCCAUGCCGCGUGAAGGAUGAAGGCGUUCUGCGUUGUAAACUUCUUUUAUAAGGGAAGACACCUCAGUUUUCUAAUUGAGCCGACGGUACCUUAUGAAUAAGCACCGGCUAACUCCGUGCCAGCAGCCGCGGUAAUACGGAGGGUGCAAGCGUUAUCCGGAUUCACUGGGUUUAAAGGGUGUGUAGGCGGAUUGUUAAGUCAGUGGUGAAAUCUCCGGGCUCAACCCGGAAACUGCCGUUGAUACUAUCAGUCUUGAAUUCUGUUGAGGUGGGCGGAAUACAUCAUGUAGCGGUGAAAUGCUUAGAUAUGAUGUAGAACACCGAUUGCGAAGGCAGCUCACUAAGCAGCGAUUGACGCUGAGGCACGAAAGCGUGGGGAUCAAACAG
rnacentral:rRNA from 1 species